rnacentral:rRNA from 1 species
AGAGUUUGAUUCUGGCUCAGAUUGAACGCUGGCGGCAGGCUUAACACAUGCAAGUCGAGCGGGAAAAGUAGCUUGCUACUUACCUAGCGGCGGACGGGUGAGUAAUGCUUAGGAAUCUACCUAUUAGUGGGGGGACAACAUCUCGAAAGGGAUGCUAAUACCGCAUACGUCCUACGGGAGAAAGCAGGGGAUCUUCGGACCUUGCGCUAAUAGAUGAGCCUAAGUCGGAUUAGCUAGUUGGUGGGGUAAAGGCCUACCAAGGCGACGAUCUGUAGCGGGUCUGAGAGGAUGAUCCGCCACACUGGGACUGAGACACGGCCCAGACUCCUACGGGAGGCAGCAGUGGGGAAUAUUGGACAAUGGGGGGAACCCUGAUCCAGCCAUGCCGCGUGUGUGAAAGAAGGCCUUUUGGUUGUAAAGCACUUUAAGCGAGGAGGAGGCUACCGAGAUUAAUACUCUUGGAUAGUGGACGUUACUCGCAGAAUAAGCACCGGCUAACUCUGUGCCAGCCGCGGC